rnacentral:rRNA from 1 species
GACGAACGCUGGCGGCGUGCUUAACACAUGCAAGUCGAACGGUGAAGCGCCUUCCUUUUUGGUGGGUGCGGAUGAGUGGCGAACGGGUGAGUAACACGUGAGUAACCUGCCCCCUUCUUCUGGAUAACCGCAUGAAAGUGUGGCUAAUACGGGAUAUUCUGGGUCUGUCGCAUGAUGGGUCUGGGAAGGAUAUUGUUUCGGUGGGGGAUGGGCUCGCGGCCUAUCAGCUUGUUGGUGGGGUGAUGGCCUACCAAGGCGGUGACGGGUAGCCGGCCUGAGAGGGUGGACGGUCACACUGGGACUGAGACACGGCCCAGACUCCUACGGGAGGCAGCAGUGGGGAAUAUUGCACAAUGGGCGCAAGCCUGAUGCAGCGACGCCGCGUGAGGGAUGGAGGCCUUCGGGUUGUGAACCUCUUUCGCCAGUGAAGCAGGCCUGCCUCGUCUGUGGGUGGGUUGACGGUAGCUGGAGAAGAAGCGCCGGCUAACUACGUG